rnacentral:rRNA from 1 species
GAUGAACGCUGGCGGCGUGCCUAAUACAUGCAAGUCGAGCGAACGGACGAGAAGCUUGCUUUUCUGAUGUUAGCGGCGGACGGGUGAGUAACACGUGGAUAACCUACCUAUAAGACUGGGAUAACUUCGGGAAACCGGAGCUAAUACCGGAUAAUAUUUUGCACCGCAUGGUUCAAAAGUGAAAGACGGUCUUGCUGUCACUUAUAGAUGGAUCCGCGCUGCAUUAGCUAGUUGGUAAGGUAACGGCUUACCAAGGCAACGAUGCAUGGCCGACCUGAGAGGGUGAUCGGCCACACUGGAACUGAGACACGGUCCAGACUCCUACGGGAGGCAGCAGUAGGGAAUCUUCCGCAAUGGGCGAAAGCCUGACGGAGCAACGCCGCGUGAGUGAUGAAGGUCUUCGGAUCGUAAAACUCUGUUAUUAGGGAAGAACAUAUGUGUAAGUAACUGUGCACAUCUUGACGGUACCUAAUCAGAAAGCCACGGCUAACUACGUG